GUGGCCUGAGCUCUCUCUGCUUGCUCCUCUGGUCCUCAGUGCCGGCUGACUGUGGAUUGAAACCUCUACGAACUGCAUGGCAAAACAAACCUCUCUUCUUUAAAUUUGUGGAUGUCGUGUAUUUUGUUGCAGUGGCAAGAACAGUGACCAGCACAAUGGAGCAAUGCAGUCCACACAGGGAUGCUGCUGUGGUCUAUAUAUCAGCUCACACUGCAGAAGGCUGCGUACUGUGGAGUCCAGGGCAGGAAAGCCUCUGUGGCAGACCCAGGCUGUGGAGUGAGCAACCUUGAUGCACUGCCAUAAAAUCUGAUGACUCUAUUGUGUUAGAGAGAGCCCAUGCUGAGAAAAGAGGCAGUGUGUGAUUAUGGAAAGCAUAACUGGAAAAAAUAUUACAUAAACUCCUAGGACUCAUGCCACUGAAGAACAGCUCUGAAGGCUCUAGUAAAAGUGAAGACAUCCAAAGUUGAAUUUCACCAGGACUAGAGUUCAAGACAGCUGUGUGACUAGUUAGCCCAGGACCCCGUGUCAUUGCCAAUGGUUACAUUAGUACCCAUUCCCCACUUCAUUCCUGUGACCAUAAGGGGAAAGUGCCAUGCUGCAAGCCAAAGAAGGGACAGUUCGUGCUGGGAUUGUACACAGUCAUGGAUCAGUCUGUGAGUAAAAUCUGAAAGUACCUCAUAGUGCCAUUGUUUAAAAGACAGGUGGGGAGAGGAGCAUCCCAAUGAACAAGACGAGGUGGUGCAUCUGAUGUAGAAGCAGCAGCCCAAGGUCACCUAUACAGACUUGUAGGCUGAGAUCAGUAGCAUGACUGGCUAGUCAAGAGCACAGAAAGAAAAGACUAGACUAUACGACUCAAAGAGGACUGGGAGAGAGGCAUGUGCAUGCAUAUAGGUGCUACAUAAAAUGUGAAGAUGUACCACAUGUUCAUGAAUACAAGAAAGCAUCCCACUGCCGAACAGACACUGAACAACCAAAUAGACCAAAUGACUCAAUCAUUUGACGUUUGCAAGCUUUCUUUUUGGAGUGGCCAUGAUGGGAGACUAGAAGCUAUACAUGGGCUCAAUAACAGAGACACUCAUUUUCCAGAGGAAAUUUAGCUACUGUUGAUUCUAAGUAGUAAAUUCAAGAAAACCUUCCCAUCCCUAAGCCAUGUCAUAGCUUCAAGGCACUCUGCACUUAUUUUUUAUAACCAUAAACUCAAAAUGCUUUAUGUCAUCUGAGGAGCUAAUUAGAUUCUUUGCUUCAUCUUACCCAGGCCAACCACAGUGGUCCAACCCUAGAAGGAGCAGUCACAACAUAUUUUUAAAACAGUCAAAGAAUCAAUAUUUGAAUUUCAAAUUUAUAACAUUCUGGUAGGCUCAAAUUUUAUAAACCAAGGUUUAUUUGCAAAGACUUAUUUUUUAAAAGUCCAUUCAACAAAUUAGGUGGAUGCAGAAUUAAUUUAGAAUAGGUUACCUUGUAGUUUUUCUAAUUAACCUUUCUAUCACAAAGUCAAGAUUUUCUUUUUUUUUUUUUUGGUGGCUGACUUUAGUAGACACAAUAAAAUCUCAUUAGUGUGGCAUUUUCAAGAGAAAUGUGUGGUCAUGCCAAGAAGUAUUGCCUGAUGGCUGUGAAAACCAAGCCUACGUCUGACUUUACUGAAUUCUUGAGUAGAACAGACUGAACCACGUGAAUGACAUCCUGCGACGGUUUCCCUCAGUUUGAAGCAAAAGAAUUCAAGUGGCAACUCAUGAGUUUGAAAGGUGACAACUCAGAACAGGCAGGUGAUUUGCUAAAGCUCAUGGCAAUUGAAACAAAAAUUGCCCAAUUCUGUCAAACCCCAUAGGGAGAAACAUUUUAAAAUGAAUUUUGCCUGGAGCAGAUUGCAUUGUUUCAUAGGCAGUUCAUCCUCUCUACCACCUGGGGACAGAUUCAACAUAUCUAUUCUUUUUUCACACAGUAAAACCACAGUAAACCAAUUUAUGAUUGAUGAAUCACAGAGGAAACAAGAAAAUUUAUCUGGAGGUGGUGAGGGCAAUGUACAGUUAUCUAACUAUACUUGAAAUCCUGCAUAUAAUCAAUUAUAUAACUGUAAUUCAUAUAAUCUACAUUUUAUUGAAAUUGAAAAAUGGAUUGCAAAAUAAUCACUAAAUGGGAAAAGACUUUUAAGAGUGUCCAACAUAAAGCUGGCUUCUUAGAAUUGCUUAAGACUAGGUAUUUAUAUAAAACCAAGUUUGCUCAUAAUGAAAAUUAUAUAUGAAAUUUGUGCAUUGUAAAAUUUUUGGAAAGUUAUCAAAGGGACUUUAAAAUCAUCCAGUCAUCAUCUCAAGAAAGCACACAUUGUGCUAAAUGUAGAAUAAAAAUUUCCAGAAAAAAGAAUAUUGUAGUCACAUUAUAGAAAGCCAUUGGAAAAGUCUUGGUGUAUACAAUGGUGGUAUGUGUCAUUUAAGAGCUAUUCAUAAAAUUACUUUUUAAUUAAUGCCUUUUAGAACAAUGCCUCUUGAACCAUAAAUAAAAUUGUUAUGUACCUGGGC